GAUGAACGCUGGCGGCGUGCCUAAUACAUGCAAGUCGAGCGAACAGACGAGGAGCUUGCUCCUCUGACGUUAGCGGCGGACGUGUGAGUAACACGUGGAUAACCUACCUAUAAGACUGGGAUAACUUCGGGAAACCGGAGCUAAUACCGGAUAAUAUAUUGAACCGCACGGUUCAAUAGUGAAAGACGGUUUUGCUGUCACUUAUAGAUGGAUCCGCGCCGCAUUAGCUAGUUGGUAAGGUAACGGCUUACCAAGGCGACGAUGCGUAGCCGACCUGAGAGGGUGAUCGGCCACACUGGAACUGAGACACGGUCCAGACUCCUACGGGAGGCAGCAGUAGGGAAUCUUCCGCAAUGGGCGAAAGCCUGACGGAGCAACGCCGCGUGAGUGAUGAAGGUCUUCGGAUCGUAAAACUCUGUUAUUAGGGAAGAACAAAUGUGUAAGUAACUAUGCACGUCUUGACGGUACCUAAUCAGAAAGCCACGGCUAACUACGUG
rnacentral:rRNA from 1 species